rnacentral:rRNA from 1 species
AGUGAACGCUGGCGGUAGGCCUAAUACAUGCAAGUCGAACGGCAGCACAGGAGAGCUUGCUCUCUGGGUGGCGAGUGGCGGACGGGUGAGGAAUACAUCGGAAUCUACUUUUUCGUGGGGGAUAACGUAGGGAAACUUACGCUAAUACCGCAUACGACCUACGGGUGAAAGCAGGGGAUCUUCGGACCUUGCGCGAUUGAAUGAGCCGAUGUCGGAUUAGCUAGUUGGCGGGGUAAAGGCCCACCAAGGCGACGAUCCGUAGCUGGUCUGAGAGGAUGAUCAGCCACACUGGAACGGAGACACGGUCCAGACUCCUACGGGAGGCAGCAGUGGGGAAUAUUGGACAAUGGGCGCAAGCCUGAUCCAGCCAUACCGCGUGGGUGAAGAAGGCCUUCGGGUUGUAAAGCCCUUUUGUUGGGAAAGAAAUCCAGCUGGUUAAUACCCGGUUGGGAUGACGGUACCCAAAGAAUAAGCACCGGCUAACUUCGUGCCAGCAGCCGCGGUAA